AUGCCUCGAUAUGAAGUUUGCCAGAAUUUUGGAAUGAAACAAUAUCCACGCUACCGUGCAUAACAUGUACUUCAUACUGCCAUCGGGUCCUGUGAACUUGUUAUGCAGCAGGAUUAUCAGUCUGAUUUUUACGUUUGAUGUUUUGAUUGUAGGGAAAUGGUUACAACGUUGGCUUUGGGACUUGCUCCGGAAAGAUUGUUCCCUCACCUCUUUGAAGACUUUCUUCUUGGCCUUUCAAGUAAUCAGUCAAAGUACUUGUAUUCCAUUAGCAACCUCAAUUUCAUAUGUUGUUGGAGCUGUGUACCAUGUACUCUGUAAUUCACUUGGCCUUUGUUGUUUUGUAAUUCUAAACCAUGCGCAAUACAGCCGACCUUACUUAGUGGAAUAAGGCGUUGUUGUUCUGCUUUAUGAUAAUCCCCCUACUAUUUCCUGUUUACGGUUUAGUGCUCUCUCUUUCUAUACAUUUAAAUGUGGAUGUCACCGGGGGCUGAUGGACUUAGAAACCAAUGUGGUCCUUGUAAGACCCUUAAUCAUAAUCACCAAGACCAAAACAUGAACUACAACUUAGAGAGAAAUAUUCAAUUUAUGUAUCUGAGAAACACAGCAAGAAGAACAUACCUGCACUUGUAGCAGAACCCGAAGCCAUAGCAGCAAACUUUCAGUGUACCUUCUCUUCUCUCGCAGGUUAUCAAGAGCUCGACUUAUAAAUAGGAUUAAGUCCAGAAUAUGAGCAUUACCCUGUGAGAAGAGAGGCCACUAUAUAUAUACAUAUAAUCUUUACCAUAACUGAUUAGGAUUCCCUAUCAAAAUCCAUGUAGGAAACAAAUUCUUGUCUCCUUGUUCUGAUCUUCAUGCUGUACAGAAUCCCUCUUCAUAAGGGAUUAGCAUUCCUUUUAUUAACAAGACUUUUCUAUCCAAUUGAACACAUAUAGCCGGUCCUAAAACUCGUCUAUCUCAUACUCACAUUCUUACAUUCUCCCACUUGAGUAUGAGAACAGUUUUAAGUACUCAGCCAAGUCAAUUAUGUGCAGAUAGAAGUGAUCACUAAUCUUGUUAAUAAAAUUUCAAUCACAACCAGCUAUCAUACAUCUCAAAAUGCAGAACGCUUGUAACUGUAUUACCACAAUAAAGCAAACAGGUUUUCAAGAGUUACAGACAUUCAAUUUGUAUGCUCAACGUUGUGAACUUGAUCAAUAUCAGCAAUAAGCAAAAUAAUUUGCUCCCACUAUUUCAAAUCAUUGUCAGCAAGAUGUGAAACAAAUCUUUGCUUCAAAACAAUGCAUGAAUCAACAAUUCAUCACUAAAUGCUUUAAACGGAGAAACCAUUAUAAAAGCAACAAAUGAAUUAUAUCAAACUUUAUUUUGUUCGAAAUAAUAGAUCAUCAUAACUGAUCUCAAUUCAAUAAAACAAACAAAACAAACUAACAAACCUAAUACUAUCCAGCCAUAAGAUUUUAAAUUUGAAAUUUGAAACCUGUCUAUAUCACCACACCAGCUCUCUGAACUUCACAGCAGCGAAUAAACAGUCAUAAUAAGACUAACGAAUUACUCCCACUGAUCAAAGGAUUCAAGUAUUCCCAUCCGAGAGACAUGCGUUUUAAAUACUCCAAUCAGCAAUGCUUUAGUCAAAGGAUCCGCAAUCAUUGCUUUUGUGCUUAAGUGCUCCACCUGAAUUGCUCCUUCUCAAACCUUUUCUCGGACCUUGAGGAAUUUUACAUCCAUCAGUCUUGAAGCUGAAGUUCUCUUAUUGUUCUUGCUAAAAAAUACUGCAGAAUUGUUAUCACAAUACAUCAUGAUAGGCCUUUGCACAGAAUUUACAACUUUCAAAUCUGUCACAAAGUUUUUCAACCAUACAGCUUGUUUCAUUCCUUCAAAACAAGCUAUAAAUUCUGCCUCCAUUGUCGAUGUUGCGAUGAUAGUCUGUUUUGCACUUUUCCAGGAGACUGCACCACCACUUAGCAUAAAGAUAUAACCUCCAGUAGAUUUCCUAUCAUCUACAUCACCGGCUAAAUCAGAAUCAGUGUAUCCAACUAACUCCAAUAGCUCAUUCCUGCCAUAAACCAACAUAUAGUUCUUGGUUCUUUGCAAGUAUCUCAAAACUUUCUUUGCUGCUACCCAAUGUGUCUCUCCUGGAUUUGCUUGAAACCUGCCCAAUAUUCCAACUAUAAAAGCAAUGUCCGGUCUUGUGCAAAUAGUGGUAUACAUCAAACUUCCCACUAAUGAAGCAUAAGGCUUAUUCUUCAUUUUAUCUAUCUCCAUAGGCGUCUUAGGACAUUGAGCCUUUGAGAAUCUGUCUCCCUUGUUUACUGGCACUUCACCAUUACUGCAGCUUGACAUAUUGAACCUCAUGAGUACCCUUUCUAUGUAUCCCUUUUGUGAUAAACCGAGUAAAUUUCUUGAUCUAUCUCGAACAAUUUCAAUACCAAGUACAUAGUGUGCUUCACCAAGGUCCUUCAUUUCAAAAUUCUUACUGAGCAUGGUCUUAGUGUCUUUGAGCAGCUUCAUGUUAGAACUGGCAAGGAGGAUGUCAUCGACAUAUAACACUAAAAAUAUAAAACUAGUGCCUGAAAACUUAACAUAGAUGCAAUCAUCUAAUUUGUUUUUUCACAAAACCUUGUCCUGUAACUACUUUAUCAAACUUUAAGAACCAUUGUCUUGAUGCCUGUUUAAGCCCGUAGAUUGACUUGUUAAGUUUACAAACCAUGUCUUCUUUCCCCUUUUCAACAAAUCCAGGAGGCUGCUUCAUGUAAAUGUCUUCGGCCAGUUCACCAUUAAGAAAGGCAGUUUUGACAUCCAUUUGAUGCAGUUCCAGAUUGUAAUGAGCCACAAGUGCCAUGAUAACCCUCAUAGAAUCCUUGGAAGAGACGGGAGAAAAGGUGUCAUUGUAAUCCACCCCUUCCCUCUGAGUGAAUCCUUUUGCAACUAACCUUGCCUUGUACCGUUCAAUAUUGCCGUGAGCAUCUCUUUUGGUUUUAUAAACCCAUUUACACCCAAUAGCCUUGAAUUGAGGAUUGGAAUCCACUAAUGUCCAUACUGAGUUUUUUGACAUCGACUCCAAUUCCUCCUUCAUUACACUGUGCCACAAUGAUUGUUGAGAACUAUUCAUGGCCUGAGAAUAAGUGAGAGGGUCAUCUAUAUCACCAAAAUCAAACUCAUGCUCCUGCAAAUAAACAUAGUCAUUUGACAUUGUGGUUUUUCUGAUUCUUGAAGAUUGUCUCAAUGGUAAUGACGGAUCAUGGAGAACUUCAGUGCUCGGAUUCAUUGGUGCAUCAUCAGUUGGAGUUGGAUCCUCUUGUUGCUGUGGUUGGGACCCAAGAUCAAUUUCCAUUCUGUCAAUAUCUUCUGGACAGUCUAAUUGUUCUUCCUCCAAUUCAAUCAUGGAAGCAGGAGUGAUCAACAUUUCUUUGUAAGAAUUACUGCAAAAGGACUUCUCAUUUUGAUCAAUCUCUUCAAAAAUGAACCUGCCCUGUGAUAAGUCUGCAAUAUCUUGAUCUUCAAAGAACCUAGCAUUGUGAGUUUCAUGAAUCCUGGUGUGAGCUUGAGGACAAUAAAACUUGAAGCCUUUAGAUUUCUCUGAGUAGCCAAUGAAAUAGCAUGAUUCUGUCCUUGAGUCCAAUUUCUUCUCAUUUGGAUUGUAAAUUCUAGCCUCAGCUUUACAUCCCCAAACAUGGAAAUGACUAAAACUGGGCUUCCUGCCAUUCCAGAUUUCAAAAGGUGUUGAUGAAACCGCUUUGCUCGGAACUCUGUUCAGUAUAUAAGUUGCUGUCUUCAAUGCUUCACCCCAUAGGAAUCCUGGUAACUUUGAUCUUGUCAUCAUGCUUCUUACCAUUCCAAUCAGAGUUCGAUUCCUCCUUUCUGAAACUCCGUUUUGCUGUGGUGUUCCUGGUGUAGUGUAUUGAGCAACAAUGCCUUGUUGUUCAAGAUAGAGCGCAAACGGACCUUUGUGUUGUCCAGCCUCACUGUACCUGCCAUGUACUCUGUAAUUCACUUGGCCUUUGUUGUUUUGUAAUUCUAAACCAUGCGCAAUACAGCCGACCUUACUUAGUGGAAUAAGGCGUUGUUGUUCUGCUUUAUGAUAAUCCCCCUACUAUUUCCUGUUUACGGUUUAGUGCUCUCUCUUUCUAUACAUUUAAAUGUGGAUGUCACCGGGGGCUGAUGGACUUAGAAACCAAUGUGGUCCUAUGACCACUCGACGUUCAAGAAAUAUACAUGUAUAGGUCUUUCAAGGACCAUUCGAAUAUUUGAUACGGGUCCUUUUUGUGCCUACAAAGUGUUUCACAUAAUGUCUGCUAGGUAUAUGUCAACAAGUUGUGUUGACAACACUCAACAAAUUCUUUUUAUAUCACUUAUCAGAUUAUUUUGGCAUAUGUUGAUAUAUGUUGACAUAUGCAUGACUUGAUUUGGCUGAUAACAAUAAGUUCAUCAAGUGUACGACGAAAUCUUUGUGAAUGAACUAAAAUAAUUUUGUGGUGGCCUGUUUUUAUCCAAAAUCUUGUAUUUAACACUAGAAUUCUCUAAGAUUCGAAUCUUAAAUCCGCCCUGUGAUGUCACCAAUGGCAUUGAUCAGUAGCUUGAUUGAAAAAUAUGAGAUAGGUUAUUAGCUCGAGACGUCACCGCAACAUAUCUAGCUGUGCAUGUACUGUGAGAUUAAAGAUGCUUUCGCCGAAAAGCGUUUCUUCCAAAAAUGAGAGGGUGGC
rnacentral:lncRNA from 1 species